rnacentral:lncRNA from 1 species
CUGAUUUUCCUCAACUUCAGUAACCACAGGUUCACCUUUUACUGUUUCUGUAGGCUCAACUUCAGUAGCCACAGGUUCUUCUUUUACCGUUUCUGUAGCUUGAACUUCAGUAGCCACAGGUUCUUCUUUUACCAUUUCUCUAGGAUCAACUUCAGUAACCACAGGUUUGACUUUUACUGAUUCUGUCAGAUCAACUUCAGUAACCAGGGGUUCUUUUACUGUUUUUGUAAUUUCAACUUCUGUAGCCACAGCUUCUUCUUUUACUGUCUCUGUAGGAUCAACUUCAGUAACUAUAGGUUCGUCUUUUACCGUUUCUGUUGCCUCGAAUUCAGUAGCUGCAGGUUCAUCUUUUACCAUUUCUGUAGGCUCAACUACAGUUGUCACAGGUUCUUCUUUUACGGUUUCUGUAGCUUCAACUUCAGUAGCCACAGAUUCUUCUUUUACUGUUUCUGUAGCUUCAACUUCAGUAGCCACUGGUUCUUCUUUUACUGUUUCUGUAGCUUCAACUUCAGUAGCCACUGGUUCUUCUUUUACUGUUUCUGUAGCUUCAACUUCAGUAGCUGCAGGUUCGUCUUUUACCGUUUCUGUAGCCUCAACUUCAGUUGCCACAGGUUCUUCUUUUACCGUUUCUGUAGGCUCAACUUCAGUAGCCACGGGUUCUUCUUUUACUGUUUCUGUAGCUUCAGCUUCAGUAGCUAGAGGUUCUUCUUUUACCGUUUCUGUAGGAUCAACUUCAGUAACCACAGGUUCGUCUUUUACGGUUUCUGUAACCUUAACUUCAGUAGCUGCAGGUUCUUCUUUUACUGUUUCCGUAGCCUCAACUUCAGUAGCCACAAGUUCUUCUUUUAGUGUUUCUGUAGCCUCAACUUCAGUAACCACGGGUUCUUCUUUUACUAUCUCUGCA